rnacentral:lncRNA from 1 species
GAUGGAAACAGCCACCAUGUUGUGAGGACACUCAAUUAGCCUUGUGGAGAGACCCACAUGGGUGAGAAACUAAGGUCUGCCACCAACAGCCCACAUCCAUUGCCAGCUCUGAGAGCAAAUAGAUCCUGCAGACCUAGUCAAGCCUCAUUUGACUGACACCUCAGUCAACAUCUUGACUGCAAGCCCAUGCAAAACACUGAGCCAGAAACCACCCACCCAAGAAGCUGUGAAUUCCUGACUGGCAAAAAAUGCUGAGCAGAAAACCAGGAAGUGGAUGGACUCCACCUCCGCAGCCACGCCUGCCCGUUUGCGCUUACUGGACUGAGGUCCUCAGGAACGUGGUGCUCCACUAGAGGCUGCAGGUGGAUUAUCUUGUUUAAUCCUCACAACUUCCUAAUGAGAGCCCCUCUUCUUGGGCCUGCGAUUCCUCACCUGGAAGGGAGAAGAGUGGACUUCCUGCCUAGAGAACACCUUGGUAAACUCUUUGUGGUUCCUGUCAUGAGAAGGUGUGCAGCUUAGGGAAAAAGCCUGUGAGCUCUGGAAUCAGAUGGAACUGGAUA